AUCCAGCUGACGAUUCCUAAGUGGGGCGAAAUGCGCAUCCUGGAU
rnacentral:hammerhead_ribozyme from 1 species